rnacentral:rRNA from 1 species
UACGAGGGGUGCAAGCGUUGCUCGGAAUUAUUGGGCGUAAAGGGUAGGUAGGUGGUCUCGUUUGUCUGAGGUGAAAGCCUUGAGCUUAACUCAAGAAGUGCCUUAGAAACGGCGAGACUGAAGUACUGGAGAGGGUCGUGGAAUUCCCGGUGUAGCGGUGAAAUGCGUAGAGAUCGGGAGGAACACCAGAGGCGAAGGCGGCGACCUGGACAGUGACUGACACUCAACUACGAAAGCGUGGGGAGCAAACAGG